UACGGAGGAUCCGAGCGUUAUCCGGAUUUAUUGGGUUUAAAGGGAGCGUAGGUGGAUUGUUAAGUCAGCGGUAAAAAUGCGGUGCUCAACGCCGUCGAGCCGUUGAAACUGGCGUUCUUGAGUGGGCGAGAAGUAUGCGGAAUGCGUGGUGUAGCGGUGAAAUGCAUAGAUAUCACGCAGAACUCCGAUUGCGAAGGCAGCAUACCGGCGCCCUACUGACGCUGAGGCACGAAAGCGUGGGUAUCGAACAGG
rnacentral:rRNA from 1 species